rnacentral:rRNA from 1 species
AAUAGAUACCCGGGUAGUCCACGCCGUAAACGAUGGAUACUAGCUGUUGGAGGUAUCGACCCCUUCAGUAGCGAAGCUAACGCGUUAAGUAUCCCGCCUGUGGAGUACGGUCGCAAGACUAAAACAUAAAGGAAUUGACGGGGACCCGCACAAGCGGUGGAUCGUGUUCUUUAAUUCGAUGCUAAACGAAGAACCUUACCAGGGUUUGACAUCCCUUGAAUUAAUCCGAAAGGAUUGAGUGCUUUAUUGAACAAGGUGACAGGUGAUGCAUGGCCGUCGUCAGCUCGUGUCGUGAGAUGUUUGGUUAAGUCCAUCAACGAGCGCAACCCUUGCAAGUAGUUGUAUUUUUCUACUUGGACUGCCCCGGUAACGGGGAGGAAGGAGGGGAUGAUGUCAGGUCAGUAUUUCCCUUACAUCCUGGGCUAGAAACACGAUACAAUGGCUAGUACAAUGCGCAGCGAAGCCGCGAGGUGAAGCAAAUCGCAUCAAAGCUAGUCCCAGUUCGGAUUGGAGGCUGAAACUCGCCUCCAUGAAGUCGG